AACACAGAGGGUGGAGGGAGAGAUCCAGGAAGAGUCCCGGAGCAGAACCUCCUUUCACUUAAGUUAAAAAGGUGGGUCACUUGUUAAGAGCUACGCGCAGGUUCAUCUGAUUUACAUGUACGGCGGCAGUAUAUGAGUGGGAUGGAAACCAUGGUGACUGUUGUUUCCUUUGAUGGAUGAAACUUAUAUCCCUUUGGGUUUUUUGUUUGUUUGUUUUCGGUGGGGGGGCAUUAACCGAUUAGUAGAUAAAACUACAUAGUAUAAUCUAUAGCCUAUUUUUAAAUGGACACGUUCUUACCACUCAGGAGGUUUAUCGUGAUUGUUUAAUGUCUCAGGAUGGAGGAAUCUAGUGCAGGCAGUUCUUAAUGAAACCUUUUAAAUUCCUGUUAAUGACUUAACAUUAGUUUACCAGCUCUGAGCAGCUUUAAAUAAACCUUGAUUUCAGCUUUUAAUAAGCUAAUGACUGCAGGAGAAAAGAUAUUAACUCUCCUUUCUCUUUGUGUUUUUUGCCCCUACCCUUUUUUAUCUUUACUGACCUUAACAUGAUUGUCAAAUAUUUAUAAACAUGAGUGAACAUCUUUAUAUUACUCUCAUUAAUAAGAUAAAUGCUUAAUUUGUCAUUCUUUACGUUUUUGGGACUUAAUGAAUGUUUGUCUUUUGUAGAUAAAAUGGAGCUGCUAGAAAUAGCAAAAGCCAGCCCAGCUAAAUCUUUAGGAAUAGCCAACCCUGACUUGCCAGAUGGUCUCAGAACUGUUCCUAUCGUUAAAGAAACAAACUGUGCAACAGCUGUACUAUAUGCCACAAAGUUCGAGUUUCCUCAAAACAUGCAGAGACACUUCAUGAGGUUUUUGACUUUGUCGAAAUGAAAAUAGAAUCCUUCAACAUGUGCCUACAAGAUGGCUAUCGUUACUGGCCAUAGAGAAGAUGUUAAAAUGUUGGCCUGCCAUCAAGUCUUAUUUUCAAAAUAUGGGAAAAGAAGAGUGUUCUUCUCUAAUUUGGAAAUACAUCAAGGAUGAGGAUGAAGAAACAAGAUUAUAGUAUAACAGAAAUAUAUAUGCCUUUUGUCCAGAACUGCUUGAUGAUCUUUGAAGAAGUUAUAAGGAGCGUAGAAAAGGAUACACUAACUGCACCUGAGUUAUUUGAUAUUAUGUGUAAGUUGCGGCAAAAGCUCAUACAGCAAAAAAAUGACUCUUUGGAAAGAAGAUUGUUUUAGAACUCAAAAAAAUGUCAUCAGAAAAGGGCAACCAAAUUGAACUGGACUGUCUUGAUUACUAGAACUUUAACCUUUUUUUUUUUUUUUUUUGAGAUGGAGUCUUGCUCUGUCAUCCAGGCUGGAGUGCAGUGGCACGAUCUCAGCUCACUGCAAGCUUUGCUUCCCCAUUCAUGCCAUUCUCUUCACCUAAAAUUAACCAUCACAAAAGUUAAGGAGAAAGAAGACAACUUGUAGGGGAGGCUGCUAUGCAAGAUAGUGUGUGAAGGAAGGGCUCUCUGAAGAAGUAACAUCUGAGCAGAGACUUGAAUGAAGUGAAGAAUUGAGCCAUGUGGGUAUGGAGGAUACAACUUCCAGGUAGAGAGGACAAGUGUGGUGUGUAUCAGGGUCAGCAAAGAAGCCAUGUGACAGAGAAGGGUGGGCCAGGGAGAUAGGGAUAAGUGAUCUACCUCCUGGGGAGGUGGCCAGGAGCUAGAGCAUGAGGAUCUUGUAGGAUUUUGUUCUGCAAGGUAUGUACAUCCUCAUUGUCUUUCACAUUCUAAGGUGGUACCACUCAGUGAUUGAAAUCCUUAAGCGUUAUAUUAGUCUGCUUGGGCUACCAUAACAGCCAAAAGUAGCUAUUUUUUGAAUUUCGAAUGGUUUAGUCAGACUACAAAUUACUUAAUAACAGGGGCUACAGUUCAUUCCUGGAUAUAUCCCCAGAAUCAGGGACAGUUUCUAGAACACACUUGAGUGCUCAACAGACAUAGCUAUUAUAGUUAGUUGAAAUAGAAUUGGCAAUGUGGGAAAUAAGAAAUCAUAUUUUUGGCCCAGCACAGUGGUUCACGUCUGUAAUCCCAGCACUUUGGGAGGCUGAGGCAGGAGGAUCAAUUGAGGUCAGGAGUUUGAGACCAUCCUGGCCAAUAUGGUGAAACCCCAUUUCUACUAAAAAUAUAAAAAGUAGCUGGGUGUGGUGGUGUGUGCCUGUGAUCCCAGCUACACAGGAGGCUGAGGUGGGAGAAUUGCUUGAACCUGGUAGGCAGAGAUUGGAGUGAGCCAAGAUCAUACCACUGCACUCCAGGCUGGGCAACAGAGCCAGACUCCAUCUCAAAAAAAAGGGGAGGGGGAAGGAUCCAAGAUGGCCGAAUAGGAACAGCUCCGGUUUACAGCUCCCAGCGUGAGUGAUGCAGAAGAUGGGUGAUUUCUGCAUUUCCAGCUGAGGUACCGGGUUCAUCUCACUGGGACUUGUUGAACAGUGGGUACAGCCCACAGAGUGUGAGCUGAAGCAGGGCAGGGCAUUGCCUCACCUGGGAAGCGCAAGGCGUCGGGAAAUUCCCUUUCCUAGCCAAUUGAAGCCGUGACACAUGGUACCUGGAAAAUCGGGACACUCCCACCCUAAUACUGCCCUUUUCCAACAGUCUUAGCAAAUGGCACACCAGGAGAUUAUAUCCUGUGCCUGGCUCUGAGGGUCCCACGCCUAUGCUGCCUUGCUCACUGCUGGCACAGCAGUCUGAGACUGAACUGCAAGGCAGCCAGGCUGGGGAGGGGUGUCCGGGCCAUUAAGCUGAGGCUUGAGUAGGUAAACAAAGUGGCGGAAGCCCAACUGGGUGGAAGCCCACUGCAGCUCAGUGAGGCCUGCCUGCCUCUGUAGACUCCCACCCUGGGGCAGGCAUAGCUGGAACAGGGCAGUAGAAACUUCUGCAGACUUAAACGCCCCUUGCCUGGACAGCUUUGAAGAGAGUAGUGGUUCUCUAGCAUGGAGUCUGAGAUCCAAGAAUGCACAGACUGCCUCAAAUGGAUCCUUGACCCCGAGUAGCCUAACUGGGAGACACCUCCCAGUAGUGGCCAACUGACACCUCAUACAGCCAGGUGCACCUCUCAAAUGAAGCUUCCAGAGGAAGGAUCAGGUGGCACAUUUGCUGUUCUGCAACAUUUGCUGUUCUGGCAGCCUCUGCUGGUGAUACCCAGUAAACAGCAUCUGAGUGGACCUCCAGCAAACUCCAACAGACCUGAAGCUAAGGGUCCUGACUGUUAGAAGGAAAAUUAACAAACAGAAAGGAAUAGCAUCAAUAUCAACAAAAAGGACAUCCACACCAAAGCCCCAUCUGUAGGUCACUACUAUCAAAGACCAAAGGUGAUAAAACCACAAAGAUGGGGAGAAACCAAAGCAGAAAAGCUGAAAAUUUAAAAAUCAGAGGCCUCUUCUCUUCAAAGGAACACAGCUCCUCGCCAGCAAUGGAACACAACUAGAUGGAGAAUGACUUUGAUGAGUUGAGAGAAGUAGACUUCAGAAGAUCGGUAAUAACAACUCUGAACUGAAGGAGGAUGUUCAAACCCAUUGCAAAGAAGCUAAAAACCUUGAAAAAAGAUGUGAGAUGAAUGGCUGACAAGAACAGUGUAGAGAAGACCUUAAAUAACCUGAUGGAGCUGAAAACCAUGCCACGAGAACUACGUGAUGCGUACAAGCUUCAGGAGCUGAUUCAAUCAAGUGGAAGAAAGGAUAUCAGUGAUUGAAGAUCAAAUGAAUGAAAUGAAGUGAGAAGAGAAGUUAAGAGAAAAAAGAGUGAAAAGAAACAAACAAAGCCUCUAAGAAAUAGGGGAGUAUGUGAAAAAACCAACUCUUAUGUGUGAUUGGUGUACCUGAAAGUGAUGGGGAGAAUGCAACCAAGUUGGAAAACACUCUUCAGGAUAUUAUCUGGGAGAACUUCCCAACCUAGUAUGGGCAGGCCAACAUUCAAAUUCAGGAAAUACAGAGAACACCACAAAGAUAAUUCUAGAAGAGAGCAACUCCAAGACAUAUAAUUGUCAG
rnacentral:lncRNA from 1 species